CCCACCUGGGUGCGUCUGGGUGUCCCUGCUGGAACAGGGGCUGCGCUGGAUGUUCUCUAGGUGUCCUUUCCAACCUCAGCCAUUCUGUGAUUCUGUAUGCUGCCCUCUUAUCUGUCAUACCCAACCUUUUCUUGAGCAGUACCAUUUAACAUUGAAUCAAAACACUAUUUUCUUUUAAAAUGAGAUGUAAACUUGCAAACUUGUCCAAUACUCUGCCAGCGAAUGGCACAGUUUGGCCUGUCUCGCGGUGGGACAGCUCCUGCAGCACAGGGUGUAGAAACUCCUGAAAAGUCCUUGAACUUCAGCAGGAGCUGCGUGCUCCCCCAGCAGCUCACGACUCCUUUAUGGAAUUGCUCUGCUGGAUGUGAUUCCUUGCCUCAAUUUGGUAUGAAUCGGUGGGUAUGCAGAUAGGGGGCAGGAAACAACAUUUUCCUUUCUUGUUCCUGCAAAAAAACCCCCAUCUCUUGCUAAUUGUGUAUCGCUUCCAGGUAUAUGAGCAGACCUGUGAUGAGCGGCCCUGGUCUGUACGACCCUACAACCAUCAUGAAUGCAGAUAUUUUAGCCUAUUGCCAGAAAGAAGGAUGGUGCAAAUUAGCAUUCUACCUUCUAUCAUUUUUCUACUAUCUAUAUGGCAUGAUUUAUGUUUUGGUGAGCUCUUAAGAAGACGUUCAGUGAGCUUUGUUCCAGUUAAGUGCAUGCAAAAGCCACCAAACAUGGAUUCUAACAAGAACCUGUUACCAAGACUAAAUAUGGAAUCUGAUGAUUGCAUUUGCAUUAGAAAAAAAUGACUCCCCUCUUUUUAAAAUAUUUCCA